rnacentral:sRNA from 1 species
GUGCAGCCUGAUGGCGCAGGAGGUAGACACCGCACAGGGCGCCGAGAUGCGGCGGGGCGCGGGCGCGGCUCGGGGACGCGCUUCCUGGUGCUGGGCCCUGGCGCUGCUUUGGCUCGCGGCGGUUCAGGGCUGGUCCCGGGCCUCGGGCAUCCCCUCCCGGCGCCACUGGCCGGUGCCCUACAAGCGCUUUGACUUCCGUCCAAAACCUGAUCCUUAUUGUCAAGCUAAGUAUACUUUCUGUCCAACUGGCUCACCUAUCCCAGUUAUGGAGGGUGAUGAUGACAUUGAAGUUUUUCGAUUACAAGCCCCAGUAUGGGAAUUUAAAUAUGGAGACCUCCUGGAACACUUGCUCCUGUACCUAGCUCCUGGAAGGUGAGAAGAGGCCCAGAAGUGGCAGGGCAGGCAGAAAAUUAUGCAUGAUGCCAUUGGAUUCAGAAGUACAUUAACUGGCAAGAACUACACAAUGGAAUGGUAUGAACUUUUCCAACUUGGCAACUGUACAUUUCCCCAUCUCCGACCUGAAAUGGAUGCCCCUUUCUGGUGUAAUCAAGGCGCUGCCUGCUUUUUUGAGGGAAUCGAUGAUGUUCACUGGAAGGAAAAUGGG